UACGGGGGGGAGCAAGCGUUGUUCGGAUUUACUGGGCGUAAAGGGCGCGUAGGCGGCCAGCACAAGUCAGUUGUGAAAUCUCCGAGCUUAACUCGGAAAGGUCAACUGAUACUGUGCGGCUAGAGUGCGGAAGGGGCAACUGGAAUUCUUGGUGUAGCGGUGGAAUGCGCAGAUAUCAGCAGGAACACCCGUGGCGAAGGCGGCCCCCUGGGCCGUACCUGACGCUGAGGCGCGAAGGCUAGGGGAGCGAACGGG
rnacentral:rRNA from 1 species